CACAUUGUACCUUGGCAUCAUGACAAGUACCUAAAAUGACUGCUUCCAAACAUUGGGGAGUGACUGUUCCUUCACGGUCAUUCGCUAUGGGCCCCAGAACAGCUCCCGGGGGACCUGGUGUUAGAUGAUGCCCAGUGAAUUUUUACGUAUUAGACAAGCUUCAGAUCCGAUCCUUGAACCUCCUUUAAAAUUGAGCCAAAGGAAGGACAGGAAAUUGCCUUCAAGAGGAAACCAUGCAGCGGUGGAAAAUGAAGUUGCACAAAGUCCCUGGACAACACGGAAGCAGCUCACAAUACACUGUUCUCCCAACAGAGACCUCAGCUCACCCACAGGUUUCAAGUCCUGUCCCCAAGAUGUCUUCUGAACGGGCCGUGGAAGGCCCAGACAAGGCCCAGGCCCGCCCUCAGCUGACCUGGGGAAGGAAGGCCGGGGUCCUCGGGCUGCUGUUAUGUCGGUCCCCCCAGUGUCCAGACGAGAGCUCCAUGGCGUCGUGGACACCCACCCACCGCACGGCCAGCCUCCUGCCAGACAGCCUGCGAUCGAUCUGUUUUUCAGUCACACCUGUAUCACCACGGAAGCAGCAAUCUUCCUCAAAUUGCUCACAGACACUCCUUCUGCUACA